GUAGUCUUUUGUUCAAACUUCAGACUUGGUACUCUCUAAUUAUAGGUCACUGGACUUCACCGAUAACGACUUUUAAACACUCUUUCAAACUUUUCCUCUUCGCUUUCGAGGAUGGUAACGAAGAAUCACUCUCAUGAUCUCAUCGAUGAAGUCUCAGAUGGAUAAACCCAAACCUCAUUCAUACUCUUUUAUGAUCCAACCUGCAAACCCACCCGAGAAACCCUUCAAUUCAUCUCCAUUUCUCUUGGGAUUGUUUUGUUUGAAGCUUUAAAUUUUCAAGGUCCAGAAUCGAAUGGUUUUCCUUUACUUGUGAUGGGUUUCGUACCAGGCCAGCGAGGGACAAGAACAGCGACGGUUCAUGACGGAGUUGGGGUUGGGGUUGUAACCCCCAACAAGAAAAGAUGGUGGAAUCUGAUGCCCAUCUUUGUCACCAUCGUCGUUAUAGCAGAGAUUGCCUUCUUGAGUCGCCUCGACAUAGCUGAGAAAGCUUCCAUGGUCCACACUUGGACCACCUCCUUCUAUUCCUCCGAUUCCACUGAGUUGUCAACCAUCUCGUAUUCGUCUGUCCGUGGGUCUGCCUCAGUUUUGCCACUGCCAACAAAGGUAGAAGAUUCAUCUGGUACUGAUAACAAAAACGGGACUGAGAAUUGCGAGGAAUGGUUGGAGAGAGAAGAUGCUGUGAACUAUUCUCGGGACUUUCAGACUGAACCCAUUUGGGUUACUGGUAGAGACCAGGAGUGGAAGACUUGCGCUGUACAAUGUAGGUUUGGGCUUGACCGUCGAUUGAAUAAGCAGCCUGAUGCUGGCUUUGAAUUGCCUCAAGCGAGAGGGGUAGCUAGCAUUCUUCGGUCCAUGGAAUCGUCUCAUUAUUAUCCAGAUAAUAACAUUGAUCGGGCACGACGGAAAGGGUAUGAUGUUGUGAUGACAACUAGUCUUUCUUCAGAUGUUCCUGUUGGUUAUUUCUCAUGGGCGGAGUAUGACAUCAUGGCACCUUUGCAACCGAAGACCGAGAAAGCUCUUGCAGCUGCCUUCAUUUCCAACUGUGGAGCUCACAACUUCCGUCUACAGGCUCUUGAGGGUUUAGAAAAAUUGAAUGUCAAGAUAGACUCUUAUGGUGGCUGUCAUAGGAACCGUGAUGGAAAAGUGGACAAAGUGGAGGCUCUGAAGCGUUACAAGUUUAGCUUAGCUUUUGAAAAUUCCAAUGAGGAGGAUUAUGUCACAGAGAAAUUCUUUCAAUCUCUGGUUACUGGAUCUGUCCCUGUAGUUGUUGGUGCUCCUAAUAUCCAAGAAUUUGCCCCAUCUCCUGGUUCAGUUUUGCAUAUUAAGGAGCCAAGUGAUGUUCCUUCAGUUGCCAAGACAAUGAAGUACCUUGCACAAAAUGCUGAUGCAUAUAAUCAAUCCCUAAGGUGGAAGUAUGAAGGCCCAUCUGAUUCUUUUAAGGCUCUUGUGGAUAUGGCUGCAGUCCACUCUUCCUGCCGCCUUUGCAUUCACCUUGCAACAAAGAUCCGGGAAAGUGAAGAACAGAACCAGAAACGUCCCUGCAAGUGCAUGAUAGGCUCAGAAACUGUAUAUCACAUUUAUGUACGAGAAAGAGGAAGGUUUGAGAUGGACUCAAUUUUCUUGAGAUCCAGAAAUUUGACCUUGGCAUCCCUGGAGUCUGCGGUUCUCACCAAAUUCAGUUCAGUGAAUCACAUACCAGUAUGGAAAGAGGAAAGACCGGAGAGCAUCAGAGGAGGGGAUGAACUUAAAAUCUACAGAAUAUAUCCAGUUGGCUUGACGCAGAGGCAAGCAUUAUACACUUUCAGGUUCAAUGGGGAUGGUGAGCUGAGGAAUUACAUUGAAAGAAACUUAUGCGCAAAAUUCGAAGUCAUUUUUGUCUAGAAAAAGAGGGAGAGAUGUCUCCCGGAGCUGCCCUCGUUUUCUGGCUCUAAGCUAUUGAAUCAGCAGUGUCUUUUUUCAAAGAAUUUACAGCUUCCUCGGUGGGAACUUACAGGUUAUGCAGUGAUCUGAUAUGGACGCUUAUAAGAUCGGAGCUUAUGCUGGAGACGAUCUAAAUUUAUCAUGACAGCUUUCGUGUACUAUUCUUGUUCUAUACGAACACGGCUCCUCCCAUUUUUGCUUAUUGAUGGACAUGGUAUUUUGAGGCGGUUUUGAAUUA